rnacentral:lncRNA from 1 species
AAGUCACUUAGAUUAUAAGAGGUUGCAAAAUAGAAGUAUCCUAGCAGUCUGUUAUUCUGUUCUUGUUCAUUAGCUGAAAUUUUCUGUAAAAAGAAAUCUACCUAUAUUCAAGAUUUAGUAGAAAUUUGGUAGAUAUUGUAGGAUAACAUUUGACUUGACUUUACUCCCCUUUUAUUUAUCAAUUUCUAGAAAUAAUGAGAUGAUUCCCUAGUAUCCUUCAAAAGUAGGCAGUGUAGUAGAGGAAGAAGAGUGUUUUAAAUUGCUACUCUGUGUGCAUACUUGUGUGUUUGUGGGUAUGCGUGCAUACAUGCAUGCAUGUACGUGCAUGACCACAAGUACACCACAGUGUGGAUGUGGAGGUCAGACUACAACUUUGUGAAGUCAGUUUUCUUCUUCCUCUUCCUACCUUUCUGUAGAUUCCACCAAACACAUGUUGUCAUACUGGGGUAGCACUGCAGAGCUAUCUACCAGAUGUUAAGGUCCUUUGGGCUCCAGGACACAAAGGUUAGGGUUAAGAAAUGCAUAUCUUUCUUAAACAUUUAAAAGAAAUGCCAUAAAUUCAUGUUUGUAGUUCCAAUUUAGAACCAUUAGGUUUUUAUUUAACUUAAAUAAUUAAUGUUUUUCUUUCUUUUUUUAAUACCAAUAACAUUUUUAAAAAUAUUUUUUAUUUAUUAAUUAUAUGUAAAUACACUGUUGCUGUCUUGAGACACUCCAGAGGAGGGCAUCAGAUCUCAUUACAGAUGACUGUGAACCACCAUGUGGUUGCUGGGAUUUGAACUCAGGACCUUCGGAAGAGCAGUCAGUGCUCUUAACCACUGAGCCCCAAUGUUUUUCUUAAUGAGAAAAAAAUUUUCAUUUUUACCAAAUAAUUAUUUGCUUGAUUUAUAUCAUAUUAUCCAUAGAACUGUUUCAAAAUUCCCUAUUUAAGUGUUUUGCUUUUGUAUCUAGUACUUAAGGUAUGUUUUGUAAGAUAUGCAGGCAAAUUUCUCUGCUUUAAAAUAAUUUGGUUUAUUGCAUUGUUAUAAGGCAGAACACACUUCUAUGAAAUGUAUUUAGAAGAAAUAAGACAAAAGGGGGAAAUAGGAAUACUUAACUGUAUUUUGAUGGCAUUUUCACGGUUUAAAUGCUUCAGUUUCACUUUAUCGUAAAACUGGACUAAUGUAAUUCUUCAAUUUCAGGGUAAAUGUGUGGUUUUAUUUUUUUUCUAGGUGCUAAUGUGCAUGCUACCACAGCUACAGGAGACACAGCUCUAACCUAUGCUUGUGAAAAUGGACAUACAGAUGUUGCAGAUGUUCUACUUCAAGCAGGGGCCCAUUUAGUAAGAUUUUUAAAAUUUCAAAUAUUUAUGCAUGAAUGUUAAUAUAUAUCAUCUAGAACACAUUUGUAAUGAUCAGUGAUUUACACAUUUUGAAUAAAAUAAGGAUUGGUAGUAUGGCAUACAAGUCUUGCUGCCAAGACUUGACAAGUUGAGUUUAAUCCCCAGAACCCACAUGGUAGAAAAUGAUAACCAACUCUCAAGUUAUCUUCAAACCUCAUGUGUACAUGUGGUUGUACAUACACACUAUGAUUUUUUAAAAUCAUUUAUUUAUUUAUUUAUUUAUUUAUUAUAUGUAAGUACACGGUAGCUGUCUUCAGACACUCCAGAACAGGGCAUCAGAUUUCAUUACAGAGGUUGUGAGCCACCAUGUGGUUGCUGGGAUUUGAACUCAGGACCUUUGGAAGAGCAGUCGGUGCUCUUAACUGCUGAGCCAUCUCACCAGCCCACACACUAAGAUUUAAUUGAACAAAAUAAGCCUCUGGUCACCUGUAAGUUGUUAAAUGUAUUAAAUGCAUUUGAAAUACAUUAAAUAGCAAAUACCAUUUCUUUUCUUAGGCAAAAAACUAUUAGUUUCUAUUCUAUUCAUCCUAUCCUCAUUAAACCUGUACUUUCUAAAGUGCUAUUUAUUACGUAUAUCAUAAAAUUCAAUGAUGUUUUCACAAAAUAAAACAAUUUGACAAUUC